UACGUAGGUGGCAAGCGUUGUCCGGAAUUAUUGGGCGUAAAGCGCGCGCAGGCGGUCCUUUAAGUCUGAUGUGAAAUCCCACGGCUCAACCGUGGAGGGUCAUUGGAAACUGGGGGACUUGAGUACAGAAGAGGAGAGUGGAAUUCCACGUGUAGCGGUGAAAUGCGUAGAGAUGUGGAGGAACACCAGUGGCGAAGGCGACUCGUUGGUCUGUAACUGACGCUGAGGCGCGAAAGCGUGGGGAGCAAACAGG
rnacentral:rRNA from 1 species